UACGUAGGUGGCAAGCGUUGUCCGGAUUUAUUGGGUUUAAAGGGUGUGUAGGCGGGCUUUUAAGUCAGUGGUGAAAUCUCCGAGCUCAACUUGGAAACUGCCAUUGAUACUAUUAGUCUUGAAUUCUGUUGAGGUAGGCGGAAUAAGUCAUGUAGCGGUGAAAUGCUUAGAUAUGACUUAGAACACCGAUUGCGAAGGCAGCUUACUAAACAGACAUUGACGCUGAGGCACGAAAGCGUGGGGAUCAAACAGG
rnacentral:rRNA from 1 species